GCUAUCUAUAUUGUCAUAUUGAGUUUGCACAGCUGCUUUAUCAAAGAACCUGGACGGAUAUAUCAUUUUCAUUUGUCGGAUUGCAAAUAGCAACAUACGCUACUUGAACUUAAAUCAAGCGUUGCUGAGUGAAGAUCUUUUAGUUUUACAUUGAACUUACUUGAAUUGCUCAGUGUGCUCUAGCUUGCGGCUUCCUUCUAUGGCAGAUUCUUUGUCUGACACUUCAUAUAAUAGAGAUUUGUCAUCAGGUUUUUGAUGCCUAUAUAAUGGUGUGCCCAAGAAGAAGCUCACAACGGCAAUGGCCAUUGCUACUGCGGGAAUGCCAAAACCCAAGCCCCACCCUAAUUUGGUCUGUAUCCAAACCAGGACCGAUGCUGCAAUCAUGGCG